UAAGUAAUGCGUGAAAUGACGGGGCUCAACCCCGUGUCCAUGCGUUAAACUGCUCAGCUAGAGAAUGAGAGAGGUGGCUGGAAUUUCUAGUGUAGGAGUGAAAUCCGUAGAUAUUAGAAGGAACACCGAUGGCGUAGGCAGGCCACUGGCUCAUUUCUGACGCUCAGGCACGAAAGCGUGGGGAGCGACCGGGAUUAGAUACCCCGUUAGUCCACGCCGUAAAACUAUGGAUGCUA
rnacentral:rRNA from 1 species